GAUCAAUUGCCGGGACCAACACACUCCUGCAAACACUUCACUGUGAGCAUGUGAAACAGUCUAUUCAUAGUUAAUUUGUUGAAGAGGAAUAAAUAUGUUCAUGUCAGCGGGACCGAACACACAACCCUCCGAUUGUAAGCAACACACCCGCCACGUUUGAAGUUCCUGACGCACAGAGAGAUUCCUUCCUUUAUCAGAGAGAUAUUAGAAGUGAUUGUUAACUGCGCUGAAUUUACAUAGAGGAAGUCAGCCUCACUUCCUCUUUCUGCAGCUGCCCUCCUCCUUCCUCCAACACAACUCCUGAUUUAAAGCCCCAAACACCUGUUCACACGCAGCGAUGCACAGGUAGACAGGUGGAAAGAGAACUGCCUGCCCAGCUUCAGUUAACCCUUCGUAGUCCCUGUGAAAGCGCUCACCUCGGGCAGGUUGCUGUAGGGCUCACAGCCGGCCGACUGCAGGACUCGCUCCAACAUGCAGACGGCAGCCGUGAAGAUGAACUGAUACUGAUCCUGCAGAGGACAAAGAUAAGCUCAUUAACUCCCCUCACAGAGGAGGUUGUGAUCGUCCUCUCUGUGAGUUUCUCACUUCAGUGGAGGAGGUAUGAAAUUUCACCACGACGUCACUGAGUUUCACCACAGAGAUCCGCCAUGAAACCGCUUAUUGUGUCGCCUCCUAAAAUACUCACCAAAGAAGGUCAGAAAAACAUUUGCAAACACCCCCUGUUACCGGACCAGCCCUCCCACGAACCUUUCUUUGGAUCACCUUCCCUCCACCUGCCUGCUUCUGACUGCUCAUCUGUGAGGCUCCAUCCUCACAUUUUAAAACUGAGUUUGAAAAAGAAGGCGGAGUGAUGAGGACGGAGCCUCCGAGACGAGUGUCAUGGUUCAGAACUGUUUCUGUACUGUGCCGUUUCCCCGAGGACAAUAACGACAUGGCGGCACCAGCAUGUUUCAGCUAAAAGCCUCCAUCAACGUGAUGCAGGCGAACUACAGGCAAACUGCAGGCAAACUGCAGGCAAACUGCAGGCAAACUGCAGGCGAACUGCAGGCGAACUGCAGGCGAACUACAGGCGAACUGCAGGCGAACUGCAGGUGAACUGCAGGCGAACUGCAGGCGAACUGCAGGUAAACUGCAGGUAAACUGCAGGUAAACUGCAGGCGAACUGCAGGCGAACUGCAGGUAAACUGCAGGCGAACUACAGGCGAACUGCAGGUGUGUAGAGGGGGUCCAAAAGGAAGGCGGAGCCACACGGCUGAUGGAGACGUCGGAAACCUUCCUGCACUCACCUGAGUUUUCUUUUCUUUUUGUUGACCUUUGACCUUACACACAUGUUGUUAGGAAUGUGGUUUUUGUGUUUAUGUUUCCUGUUUAAGUCCGUUUAAAAAAAAAUAAAUAAAAGACCGUUUUUGGUUCUGUGUUUCUCUGUGUCGUCUUGUUUAGUUAGUUCUUAGCCCUGUGAUUAUUAUUAUUCAUCUGCAUCCUUAAGUUACUUAGUAUCUGUCUCGUAUCUUAGUUCCUAGAUUGGUAUCUUAGUUCAGUCUGUUUUCCCUGUUAGUUGUGUUUUUUGGUAUAUUAGUGAUCUGUCUGCUUAUGUUCUGGUUCAGUUAUUUAUAUUCUGUUUCUUCCUGGUUAUUAUUAGUUUCCCUAUGGCCUUGGUAUCUGUCUGUUUCCCCUGCUGUCUCUCUACCUGUCUCAUUAGUCCUGAUCCCCCUCACCUGUGUUGCUCCCGCCCCGCUCGUCAGUCCCUGUGUAUAUGUAUGCCUGCUUGUGUCUCCAGUCUUUGUCACGUCCUUGUGUCGUCUGUGUUCUGUGCCUUCCCUGCCCUUUUGGAUUACUUCAUUGGUUUGUACUUUGUUCUUGGAUUCUUCCCUUUGGAUUAUGUUUUGUUUGGAGUACCCUUUUCUUUGAACAUUUGCCGCUGAGCUCCCAGCGUAAGCCUGUUUAGUUUGUGUUAAUAAAUCUUUAUUCGAACUGCAA